AUGAACGCUGGCGGCGUGCUUAACACAUGCAAGUCGAACGAAGAUGUCUAGAAUGAGAGCUUCGGCAGGAUUUCUUCUCAUCUUAGUGGCGGACGGGUGAGUAACGUGUGGGCAACCUGCCCUAUACUGGGGAAUAAUCACUGGAAACGGUGACUAAUACCGCAUGUCAUCACGGAAGGGCAUCCUUCUGUGAGAAAAGGAGCAAUUCGGUAUAGGAUGGGCCCGCAUCUGAUUAGCUAGUUGGUGAGAUAACAGCCCACCAAGGCGACGAUCAGUAGCCGACCUGAGAGGGUGAUCGGCCACAUUGGGACUGAGACACGGCCCAAACUCCUACGGGAGGCAGCAGUGGGGAAUAUUGCACAAUGGAGGAAACUCUGAUGCAGCGACGCCGCGUGAAGGAUGAAGUAUUUCGGUAUGUAAACUUCUAUCAGCAGGGAAGAAAAUGACGGUACCUGACUAAGAAGCCCCGGCUAACUACGUGCCAGCAGCCGCGGUAAUACGUAGGGGGCAAGCGUUAUCCGGAUUUACUGGGUGUAAAGGGAGCGUAGACGGCUUUGCAAGCCAGAUGUGAAAGCCCGGGGCUUAACCCCGUGGAUUGCAUUUGGAACUGGCAAGCUAGAGUACAGGAGAGGAAAGCGGAAUUCCUAGUGUAGCGGUGAAAUGCGUAGAUAUUAGGAAGAACACCAGUGGCGAAGGCGGCUUUCUGGACUGAAACUGACGCUGAGGCUCGAAAGCGUGGGGAGCAAACAGGAUUA
rnacentral:rRNA from 1 species